UACGGAGGGUGCAAGCGUUGUCCGGAAUCACUGGGCGUAAAGGGCGCGUAGGCGGCUCAUGAAGGCUGUGGUGAAAGUCCGGGGCUCAACCUCGGAUCGGCCGUGGCGACUCGUGGGCUGGAGCACUGUAGAGGCGGGUGGAAUUCCGGGGUGUAGCGGUGGAAUGCGUAGAGAUCCGGAAGAACACCAGUGGCGAAGGCGGCCCGCUGGGCAGUGGCUGACGCUGAGGCGCGACAGCAUGGGGAGCAAACAGG
rnacentral:rRNA from 1 species